GGGGGCUUAGACGAACAUCUGAAUCCGAUUUUGAAGAAGUCUUGCAUCGAUGGACACUGACAAAAUAUAGGAAGCUGCACAUGAAUGUUGGGUAUUUUAUCAUAAGUAGAAUACAGAUAGAUUCUGUAGUAGUAGAUCUCUUUAGUUGGGUAUUGAAAUUGGCUUUGGUUUGUAUGGGGUCUGAUGAGGUCUCAGUUGCAUUUGAUCCUACUUGUUAUUUAUCACUGCCAAUGCCAGUCGAAAAGGAAGUACCAGUUGACCUGUAUCUGGCUAACGUGGACCUUUUAGCAGAAAUUUUUCUGCUUUCAAGGGAUUCAAAGAGUUUGUAGAAUAUUAUGUCUCUAGGAUUCCACAGUUUUAGGUAAUUCAAUUGACAAGAAAUUUACACUGAUUCUUGUUUUAUUUUUCUAAAGGCAGAUUCUUAAUUAUAAAGGAUUGGGAAAGAAAAUUGACGGAGGCUCAGUGCCAAAAAAAUUAUGGUAGUUGGAAUGAUUACCGAAGCUCUUCGGAUUCGUUUAUUUCACUCGUUAUGCGGGUCAUGCAGAUACUGUGAUCAGCAGAAAAAGUUGGAAGUGCGCUGCCCGGAAAGCAAAUCUGGGGUAAAAGAAAAAAACUUAUUCCAACUAGUAAGCCAUUCCCAAAUUCAACCAACAAAAAGGAAAAGGUGGAAGGAAAAACUUCGUUCUCUGGUAGUGUUUUAGUUAAAAUCCUUUUUGUGCAAAUUCAUUUUUGAAAUUGUUUACCUCAUUUUCGAAUGGUUCCGUUCACAUUUGUUGUUCAUGUGAGAUUUUAUGUUUACCAGUUACUGCAUUAUAUUGACCACUAUUGCAAGAUGUUUGUUUAGGAAUAACUACUGUUUUGUUUAUCUGGAAUGUUGUGUGGGAGUCCAUCAGGAAUUGCUGGUCUGCAGUAAAUUUGUCAGGCUAGGUGAUGAAGAUCAAUGAAUCAGAAAAUGUUUUGCAUGGGUGGUGAAUGUUCUGACAGUUUUAACAGUUGUGAUGUGGUGUAUUUCACUUCCACGCAUCAUGGUGUUUUUAUCUAUCAGUUGAAUUGUAUGGUUAAUUUUCUGUUCGUGUAACCUCAUUUCCUCUUGAAUCAUAUAGUAGAAAUUGGUGACCUGAAACAAUGAACAUGGAAAAAUCACCUGUGCCAACGUUGACGAUGUUUGAUUGAUGAAGUGCUGGAAACUAAAAUUAAUUUUCUUUACAA